rnacentral:rRNA from 1 species
UACGUAGGGUGCAAGCGUUGUCCGGAAUUAUUGGGCGUAAAGAGCUCGUAGGCGGUCUGUCACGUCGGCUGUGAAAACUCGGGGCUCAACCCCGAGCCUGCAGGCGAUACGGGCAGACUUGAGUACUGCAGGGGAGACUGGAAUUCCUGGUGUAGCGGUGAAAUGCGCAGAUAUCAGGAGGAACACCGGUGGCGAAGGCGGGUCUCUGGGCCACUACUGACGCUGAGGAGCGAAAGCGUGGGGAGCGAACAGG